GGAGUUGUAGCUCAGUGGUGGAGCACUUACUCGCUUUGCAUGUAGAAGGUCCCAGCUUCAAUCCCAAUGGCAUCUCCA